rnacentral:rRNA from 1 species
AGCCCAGACUCCUACGGGAGGCAGCAGUGAGGAAUAUUGGUCAAUGGGCGCGAGCCUGAACCAGCCAAGUCGCGUGAGGGAUGACGGCCCUACGGGUUGUAAACCUCUUUUGCCGGGGAGCAACGGGCGCCACGUGUGGCGCCACUGAGAGUACCCGGAGAAAAAGCAUCGGCUAACUCCGUGCCAGCAGCCGCGGUAAUACGGAGGAUGCGAGCGUUAUCCGGAUUUAUUGGGUUUAAAGGGCGCGUAGGCCGCAGUUAAAGUCAGGGGGGCAAUUGGGGGGCCCAACCCCCUCCCCGCCAUUGAAACUGGCGCUCUUGAGUGGAAGAGAAGUAUGCGGAAUGCGUGGUGUAGCGGUGAAAUGCAUAGAUAUCACGCAGAACCCCGAUUGCGAGGGCAGCAUGCCGGCUUCCGACUGACGCUGAAGCACGAAAGCGUGGGGAUCGAACAGGAUUAGAUACCCUCGUAA